rnacentral:rRNA from 1 species
UACGUAGGUGGCAAGCGUUGUCCGGAUUUACUGGGCGUAAAGGGCGUGCAGGCGGUUUGUUAAGUGCAGGGUGAAAGCUCCCGGCUUAACUGGGAGAGGUCGUUGAAUACUGGAAGACUUGAGGCAAUGAGAGGGGUGUAGAAUUCCCGGUGUAGUGGUGGAAUGCGUAGAUAUCGGGGGGAAUACCAGUGGCGAAAGCGGCACCCUAGCGUUAGCCUGACGCUCAUGUGCGAAAGCGUGGGGAGCGAACGGG